GAUGAACGCUGGCGGCGUGCCUAAUACAUGCAAGUCGAGCGAACGGACGAGAAGCUUGCUUCUCUGAUGUUAGCGGCGGACGGGUGAGUAACACGUGGAUAACCUACCUAUAAGACUGGGAUAACUUCGGGAAACCGGAGCUAAUACCGGAUAAUAUUUUGAACCGCAUGGUUCAAAAGUGAAAGACGGUCUUGCUGUCACUUAUAGAUGGAUCCGCGCUGCAUUAGCUAGUUGGUAAGGUAACGGCUUACCAAGGCAACGAUGCAUAGCCGACCUGAGAGGGUGAUCGGCCACACUGGAACUGAGACACGGUCCAGACUCCUACGGGAGGCAGCAGUAGGGAAUCUUCCGCAAUGGGCGAAAGCCUGACGGAGCAACGCCGCGUGAGUGAUGAAGGUCUUCGGAUCGUAAAACUCUGUUAUUAGGGAAGAACAUAUGUGUAAGUAACUGUGCACAUCUUGACGGUACCUAAUUAGAAAGCCACGGCUAACUACGU
rnacentral:rRNA from 1 species